UACGGCCGUAAUACGUUGAAACAUCGGUUCCCGUACGAUCACCGAAGUUAAGCAACGUCGAAUUUAGUUAAUACCUAGAUGGGUGACCGCUUGGGAAUACCAGAUGCCGUAAG